UUACUCAAAAACAAUAAUAAAAUCAUUAAUCAAACUCAUUCUUAAUAACAAUAAAUAUCAACACAUAGAUAAAAAUCAAUUUUUCUAGAAAAUCAAUAAAUCAAAGCAUUAAAUAUUCAUUUAUCAAAACAAGCUGUACUGCACUGUAAAAUUAGAAUAUACUAUGAAAAUAAGUUUUGUAUAUUCCACUCACAGUGACGAAGUCCAGACUCGGUAUCAACAACGUCUGCGGGUUGAUUCUCGUUCGCAGAUCCUCCUAAUCAAGGAAACGACAUAAUCAUUCUCCGUAAAUUUGAAAUACAACUAAUUUUACAUAAUAAUUCUCGAAACGAAUAUCUAUCAACAAUAAACUAUUCCCGCAUGCACAAAAUUAUCAAAAUACCCCUACACGCCAAAAUUACCAAAAUGCCCCCAGCAUCAUUAUUUUACCAAAAUUAUCCUCAUAAUCUUCAAUUACUAAAUUGUCCUCAAUUCAGAUCACGAAAUUACCACAAUGUCAGAAAUUAUGAAAUUGCCCUCGGCACGUAAAAUUACCAAAAUGUCCUUAACGACUUAAAAUACCGAAUUACCCUCGAAAUCUCAAAUUAACCUAAAAUUACCAAAUUAUCCACUGAUUCCAUAAAUUACAAAUUCACCCUAAAUUUUUAUGAAUUUACCGAAUUGCCCCUGCCGGUCAACG
rnacentral:lncRNA from 1 species